rnacentral:lncRNA from 1 species
AGGAGGCCCAAAUUAAUUGGUUUUAAUCACUAUAAAUUUCCUUCCCAAUAAAAUUUCAAGAAUUUCCAAUCAUGCUGAUUUAUAUGUGUAAUUAGAAAUCCAUUCACAGAUGUCACACUGCUAGGUGGUGGGUAGUGUAAGCCCCGGCUUAACUCCAGCUAGGGGCCUGAGCCAUGAAAAACGAUAAGGGUGAACUUGGCAGGAAGUUGGGACACAGAACACGCCCCCACCCCUGGAGGCUCCACCCCCAAAGUCACGCGGGGGCCACUGACCAGCAGGCAUAGACUUCACCUUCUCUGGCCCCCGGCCCUUCCCGGCCUGGACAGGAGCAGACCGAAGGGGCUUGGCCUGUACCACACAGGCUGUGCCGGGUACGGCAGUGGGCCUCCCCCACACCGGGCUGGACCUGCCUCUGUAAACUGCCCGCCGGGACGGGGAGGUGAGACCGCACCUGCCAGCAGAGGCCAAGCUGAGAAGAGAAUGGACACACGCUUCCAUCUGUAGAAGCCAGCUCUCCCCUACGUCCUAAUGCUGGCACUCCCGUCCCGCGGGCCAGGACGGGAGCUCUGGAGUGGCUCCCCCUACACGCUGGACGGGCACGUUGACAAAGGGAAGGGGGCAUUGGUGGCCCUGAGGUCAGACCCUGCCAACUGUGCCUGCCAUUCGUGAAGACCCACCCUGGUCUCUCUGCGGACCACAGGGACCACCGCCUGGGUCUCAGAACCACACCGGCCCUCCAGUGCUCCCCCACCCAAGCCCACCCCACGUGACACAGACACACUCGGAAUUGUCUUCAAUAGUGCUCGGUCUGCAAAAGUGAUUGGUCGGCUGGCCCACUAAGCCCGCCUCCCCACGAAGAGAGAAGAAGAUCAUCUUUGUAUCAGCCUGAUCCUUUAAUGUGCCUCAAAGCUGCUGCUCGGGUCUAAAGCAGACCCCGGCCCGAGCAGGGAAUGGGUGGAGAGGUCUUAAUGGGGAGAUUAGUGUCUGCCCAGGCCGUGCCAGAGCAGGGUCCUAAGAGGAGAUUUUAGAGGUUGGGCAAUUUUUAAGGGCUUAAAUGUUUGAUAAUGCAGGGCUCAAUUGCAUUUAUACAUGUUGGGGCCUCGGCAGCAAUGUACCACCCCGGGCGUAAUGGAUGUUGCAAGAUUUGAUUUUAGUAGUUUAAAAAUACCCAAGUAGUCUGCAGGCUAAUGGCCAUUGGACAGACUCAUUAGUGUAUCAAUAAUCGUUCGGCAUUCUGAAAUCCUUUUAAUGCUCUGGGACAGCAAGAAGCAGGCUGUGGAAGGGAAGAAGGUCAUGGGGGAACUUGCGAGCCAGUUAAACAAGCGAAGACAAUGAAUGGCCUGGGCGUGCUCUCCGCCACCCGUGGACUGGUUUAGACAGCAGUGGGGUGGGGGGGA